CCUACGGGUGGCAGCAGUGAGGAAUAUUGGUCAAUGGACGAGAGUCUGAACCAGCCAAGUAGCGUGAAGGAUGACUGCCCUAUGGGUUGUAAACUUCUUUUAUAUGGGAAUAAAAUGUUCCACGUGUGGGAUUUUGUAUGUACCAUAUGAAUAAGGAUCGGCUAACUACGUGCCAGCAGCCGCGGUAAUACGGAGGAUCCGAGCGUUAUCCGGAUUUAUUGGGUUUAAAGGGAGCGUAGGUGGAUUGUUAAGUCAGUUGUGAAAGUUUGCGGCUCAACCAUAAAAUUGCAGUUGAAACUGGCAGUCUUGAGUACAGUAGAGGUGGGCGGAAUUCGUGGUGUAGCGGUGAAAUGCUUAGAUAUCACGAAGAACUCCGAUUGCGAAGGCAGUUCACUGGACUGCAACUGACACUGAGGCUCGAAAGUGUGGGUAUCAAACAGGAUUAGAUACCCCAGUAGUC
rnacentral:rRNA from 1 species